UUCCCGGGCCUUGUACACACCGCCCGUCACACCACGAAAGUUGGCAAUACCCGAAGCCGGUGGCCUAACCCGCAAGGGAGGGAGCCGUCUAAGGUAGGGGUUGAUGAUUGGGGUG
rnacentral:rRNA from 1 species